rnacentral:rRNA from 1 species
GUAGGUGGCAAGCGUUGUCCGGAAUUAUUGGGCGUAAAGCGCGCACAGGCGGUUCUUUAAGUCUGAUGUGAAAGCCCACGGCUCAACCGUGGAGGGUCAUUGGAAACUGGAGAACUUGAGUACAGAAGAGGAAAGCGGAAUUCCACGUGUAGCGGUGAAAUGCGUAGAGAUGUGGAGGAACACCAGUGGCGAAGGCGGCUUUCUGGUCUGUAACUGACGCUGAGGCGCGAAAGCGUGGGGAGCAAACAGGGAUUAGAUACCCUGGUAGUCCACGCCGUAAACGAUGAGUGCUAAGUGUUAGGGGGUUUCCGCCCCCUUAGUGCUGCAGCUAACGCAUUAAGCACUCCGCCUGGGGAGUACGGCCGCAAGGCUG